CCCCCCACCGGACUUGGUCGCGCCCGAAGUGUAACACUCUCUUUGUCGGAGGAGCUCUGCUGUUUCUUGUGCAGUACCUCCGGUUGUGGAGGCGCUGGUGUCAGCCCUGGCGGACGCAGGAACGAUGUCAGCGACCGACAUAGCUCGCCAGGUGGGUGAAGAUUGCCGAACCGUCCCCCUGGCUGGACAUGUGGGGUUUGACAGCUUGCCCGACCAGCUGGUGAAUAAGUCCAUCAGCCAGGGCUUCUGCUUCAACAUCCUGUGCGUGGGAGAGACAGGUUUGGGCAAGUCCACCCUCAUGGACACCCUGUUCAACACCAAGUUUGAGGGGGAGCCAGCCGCCCAUACACAGCCGGGUGUCCAACUCCAGUCUAGUACCUAUGACCUCCAAGAGAGCAACGUGGGGCUAAAGCUCACAGUUGUUAGCACAGUGGGCUUUGGAGACCAAAUCAACAAGGAGGACAGCUACAAGCCCGUUGUGGAAUUCAUCGAUGCCCAGUUUGAGGCCUACCUGCAGGAAGAACUGAAGAUCCGUAGGGUCCUGCACACCUACCAUGACUCCCGCAUCCACGCCUGCCUGUACUUCAUCGCCCCCACGGGUCACUCCCUAAAGUCACUGGACCUAGUGACGAUGAAGAAGCUGGACAGUAAGGUGAACAUCAUCCCCAUCAUUGCCAAAUCAGAUGCCAUUUCUAAGAGUGAACUAACAAAGUUUAAAAUCAAAAUCACCAGCGAGCUUGUCAGCAAUGGGGUCCAGAUCUACCAGUUCCCUACAGAUGACGAGUCAGUGACAGAGAUCAACGGAACCAUGAACGCCCACCUGCCAUUUGCUGUCAUUGGCAGCACAGAAGAACUGAAGAUAGGCAACAAGAUGAUGAAGGCACGGCAGUAUCCUUGGGGCACAGUGCAGGUUGAAAAUGAGGCCCAUUGCGACUUUGUGAAGCUGCGGGAGAUGCUGAUCCGGGUGAACAUGGAGGAUCUACGCGAGCAGACGCACAGCCGGCACUAUGAACUCUACCGCCGCUGUAAGCUGGAGGAGAUGGGCUUCAAGGACACCGACCCCGACAGCAAACCCUUCAGUUUGCAGGAGACGUACGAGGCCAAAAGGAAUGAGUUCCUAGGGGAGCUCCAGAAAAAAGAAGAGGAGAUGAGACAGAUGUUCGUCCAGAGAGUCAAAGAGAAAGAAGCUGAACUUAAAGAAGCAGAGAAAGAGGUAAAUCUACAUGAGAAGUUUGACCGACUGAAGAAACUACACCAGGACGAGAAAAAGAAGCUGGAGGAUAAAAAGAAAUCCCUAGAGGAUGAAAUGAAUGCUUUCAAACAGAGAAAGACUGCGGCUGAGCUGCUCCAGUCCCAGGGCUCCCAGGCUGGAAGCUCACAGACUCUGAAAAGAGACAAAGAGAAGAAAAAUUUAGGCUUCCUGUAGACACCCUUUUCCUGCGCAACGGAGCUGGGCCUCCCUUUCUCUAAUUCACCCUUAACACGUCUGGGGGCACACAACCUGUGCCCUCCCCUCUCUCCCUGACAAGGUUUAUAGAAGCCUGAGAGUCCGAGGACGGUGCCUGGCCUCUGGUCAAGAAGCCAGCAGUCGUGUGGCUUGGAGAUGCACCAUGCAUCCCAGGGCCCCCAGCCUGCCACCUAUCUUUGCCAGACUGUAACAUGCUCAGGAGGUCAAUCUUCUACACUCCACCAGCAGCUUCCCUGUUUGAACCCUGAUUGCUGCUUGGUUCCCUGACGUAUUCACGUCUACAAUGGCUGGUAAUUCAUGGCUGUGUACUGAAUAGUAUUCCCUGCUACAGCUGGACUGGACUCCACUUAGCCUUUUCAGCCAAGGUUCCUAUUUUAACUGACAGCUUUCCUUUGGGGUGCCAGGCAGCCAGGACCCUUACCCUUGCUGUGUACUUGCACUUCACACCCCACCUCUUCUUUUGAGUUCCGCCUCCCAGCCCCAGUGGCACUGAUCCUGACCUUCUUUCUUUAAAUUAUUUUGAGGUUGGUUUUUUUUUUUAACCACUUUUUUUCCCCAAAACACACAGUCAAACAAGGCUCUGCCAAAUUUUCAGGCCUUUUUGCAAUGUUGAGAAUGGGGAGGGUUUCUCUCUUCAACAGUAGAUAAUCAUAAGGGAAAAGUAGAAAAAAGGAAAAGCAAACAUUUACACACUAUCUUUUCUUGUUGGCAGAGCAAGGGGUGCAGUUCUGAGGUGUGUUUGGUGAGUCACUGACUGGUUAGUGACCAGAGGCAACUAUGAAGAUGAUGCUGUCAAAGCAUAAGCUAGUUUUCUUGAGAAAAUCCAAGUGUCAUUGUAGAGCAUGUUGGGAGCCUCUAUGCUUUGAGGUUCAAAACAAAACAGAACAGACAGGAACGUGAAUAUUCGGCCAAGUAGCUCAGAUGCUAAGUUGGGCUGUCAGGUCUCCUUGGGAAAGGCAUCCUGCUUGCAGCUUUGAUGUUACCAAGUCUAGUUUCACAGCUACUUCCCAAGAACCCCAAAUUUAAACAACCAACCCGUCUCCAUCCCCUGGGUAAUUAUUUGCAUUACAAAUAGGCCCCCCUCAUUUGCAUUUGUUUACAGAUUAACUACUUGAGGCCGGAGAAGCCCUGAAAACCUCAAAAUUUUAGAGCCACUCAACCUUUGAGAGAUCUCAGAGACUAGACAGAAUUUUUUUUACCAAGGGAGAACUUUGGGUCUUUAAGACAGAUGUGACCCACUUUUUUCAUAAGAGGAAAUUGAGGCCCAGAGAAGGGAAGGGACUUACCGGAGGUCCCAGUGCUAUUUCAUGGCAGAAGCCAGGCUAAAUUCAGUGGCUCCUGACUACCGAUCCAUUUCACAAAUGGAUUCAAUCUGUUCCUGUAUGUUCUUGGAGACAAGGUCUGUUGAUGUUCAGAGAAAACAAAUAGUUAGUAUUACAAGGCCCUUGAGUCUUUUUCCCCAUAGAAGAAUAGCCAAGGGGAGUUGGGUAGGGGGCUGGCAAAGCAGAAGACUUCAGACCAGCUCUGAACUUAGUGCUUCUGCUGACAGUAGGAUCCCCAGGCAUCUGUUAGCCAGCCAGUUUUCCUGGAAGUCUGGAAUGGGGCCCAGGCAUCCGAAUGUUUAACAGGUGUCCUAGAUGAUCCUUGUAAUCAAGGAAGUUUGGUAAACAGAAAUCUACCCUGUGAGUGAACAUGAGGCCUUUAGAAAGUCUAUCAGGGCUAUUAAAAUAAUUAAAAUAGUUAUUUUAUUGGGUAGCUUUUCUCACUGUAGACAGAAAGGCGUUUUUCCUUCUUCAGUGAAAAGGCUUUUUAAUUAGUACUGUACAAUUGUUACUAAUUUUUUUAAAAGAUACCCUAAGUACUCUGUUUACUUCUGGGGAAACAAAACCAGUCAUUGGAAAUGAUCUACACUUUUAUUUUUCCCGACUGGAAUGGAAUGGAUUUCCUGAAAAAUUCCCAUGUGUGUACACGCAACCCCCACCCCCAAACACACACAUACACACACACCUAAUUUCUCAAGCCAAGAAGUUCACACACACACACACACACACACACACACACACAGCCCUCAUUUCUCAAGCCAAGAAGUUUGCUUUUCCUGCCUGCAGUGCAGAGCACUUUGGUUCUUUAUUUUGUUUUUUGUCUUAAUCAUUUGGUAUUCACGUGUGGCUGUUAAUAUGUGCUUUUGAAUUAAAACAAGAAGCUUUAAACAGG